rnacentral:rRNA from 1 species
GAUGAACGCUGGCGGCGUGCCUAAUACAUGCAAGUCGAGCGAACAGACGAGGAGCUUGCUCCUCUGACGUUAGCGGCGGACGGGUGAGUAACACGUGGAUAACCUACCUAUAAGACUGGGAUAACUUCGGGAAACCGGAGCUAAUACCGGAUAACAUGUUGAACCGCAUGGUUCAACAGUGAAAGACGGUCUUGCUGUCACUUAUAGAUGGAUCCGCGCCGCAUUAGCUAGUUGGUAAGGUAACGGCUUACCAAGGCAACGAUGCGUAGCCGACCUGAGAGGGUGAUCGGCCACACUGGAACUGAGACACGGUCCAGACUCCUACGGGAGGCAGCAGUAGGGAAUUUUCCGCAAUGGGCGAAAGCCUGACGGAGCAACGCCGCGUGAGUGAAGAAGGUCUUCGGAUCGUAAAACUCUGUUAUUAGGGAAGAACAAAUGUGUAAGUAACUAUGCACGUCUUGACGGUACCUAAUCAGAAAGCCACGGCUAACUACGUG